CUACGUGCCAGCAGCCGCGGUAAUACGGAAGGUCCAGGCGUUAUCCGGAUUUAUUGGGUUUAAAGGGAGCGUAGGCUGGAGAUUAAGUGUGUUGUGAAAUGUAGACGCUCAACGUCUGAAUUGCAGCGCAUACUGGUUUCCUUGAGUACGCACAACGUUGGCGGAAUUCGUCGUGUAGCGGUGAAAUGCUUAGAUAUGACGAAGAACUCCGAUUGCGAAGGCAGCUGACGGGAGCGCAACUGACGCUUAAGCUCGAAGGUGCGGGUAUCGAACAGGAUUAGAUACCCUGGUAGUCCGCACAGUAAACGAUGGAUGCCCGCUGUUGGUACCUGGUAUCAGCGGCUAAGCGAAAGCAUUAAGCAUCCCACCUGGGGAGUACGCCGGCAACGGUGAAGCUCAAAGGAAUUGACGGGGGCCCGCACAAGCGGAGGAACAUGUGGUUUAAUUCGAUGAUACGCGAGGAACCUUACCCGGGCUUGAAUUGCAGAGGAAUUAUUUAGAGAUA
rnacentral:rRNA from 1 species